rnacentral:ncRNA from 2 species
GGUAUCAUCCGGCCCGUUGGUGCUCGCGCCCGGCUCCCUGCCGGCGCAGUUCAACGGGAAUCAGGAGGGGUUGCACCACGCGGUCGUGGCCCCAACCUGAGCUGCCCCCGCAACGGUAAGCGGAAGGCGCGCCUCUCGAGGUGCGCGGCUCGUGUCUGAAACCACUGGACGGUCCGUCCGGGAAGGCAACACGGGUUCAUUCUUCCGACAGCCCGGAUACCGGCCAACAGGCGGAUCGUCGC